rnacentral:rRNA from 1 species
UGAGGUAAUGGCCCACCAAGGCAACGAUCGGUAGCCGGACUGAGAGGUUGAACGGCCACAUUGGGACUGAGACACGGCCCAGACUCCUACGGGAGGCAGCAGUGGGGAAUAUUGCACAAUGGGGGAAACCCUGAUGCAGCGACGCCGCGUGGAGGAAGAAGGUCUUCGGAUUGUAAACUCCUGUUGUUGAGGAAGAUAAUGACGGUACUCAACAAGGAAGUGACGGCUAACUACGUGCCAGCAGCCGCGGUAAAACGUAGGUCACAAGCGUUGUCCGGAAUUACUGGGUGUAAAGGGAGCGCAGGCGGGAAGACAAGUUGGAAGUGAAAUCUAUGGGCUCAACCCAUAAACUGCUUUCAAAGCUGUUUUUCUUGAGUAGUGCAGAGGUAGGCGGAAUUCCCGGUGUAGCGGUGGAAUGCGUAGAUAUCGGGAGGAACACCAGUGGCGAAGGCGGCCUACUGGGCACCAACUGACGCUGAGGCUCGAAAGUGUGGGUAGCAAACAGGAUUAGAUACCCUGGUAGUCCACACCGUAAACGAUGAUUACUAGGUGUUGGAGGAUUGACCCCUUCAGUGCCGCAGUUAACACAAUAAGUAAUCCACCUGGGGAGUACGACCGCAAGGUUGAAACUCAAAGGAAUUGACGGGGGCCCGCACAAGCAGUGGAGUAUGUGGUUUAAUUCGACGCAACGCGAAGAACCUUACCAAGUCUUGACAUCCUGCGACGGACAUAGAAAUAUGUCUUUCCUUCGGGACGCAGAGACAGGUGGUGCAUGGUUGUCGUCAGCUCGUGUCGUGAGAUGUUGGGUUAAGUCCCGCAACGAGCGCAACCCUUACUGUCAGUUACUACGCAAGAGGACUCUGGCAGGACUGCCGUUGACAAAACGGAGGAAGGUGGGGAUGACGUCAAAUCAUCAUGCCCUUUAUGACUUGGGCUACACACGUACUACAAUGGCGUUAAACAAAGAGAAGCAAGACCGCGAGGUGGAGCAAAACUCAGAAACAACGUCCCAGUUCGGACUGCAGGCUGCAACUCGCCUGCACGAAGUCGGAAUUGCUAGUAAUCGUGGAUCAGCAUGCCACGGUGAAUACGUUCCCGGGCCUUGUACACACCGCCCGUCACACCAUGAGAGCCGGGGGGACCCGAAGUCGGUAGUCUAACCGCAAGGAGGACGCCGCCGAAGGUAAAACUGGUGAUUGGGGUGAAGUCGUAACAAGGUAACCGUACUAGUACGUGGGGAUG